GAUGAAGAACGUAGCGAAAUGCGAUAAGUAAUGUGAAUUGCAGAAUUCAGUGAAUCAUCGAAUCUUUGAACGCACAUUGCGCCCGCCAGUAUUCUGGCGGGCAUGCCUGUUCGAGCGUCAUUUCAACCCUCAAGCACAGCUUGGUGUUGGGACUCGCGUUAAUUCGCGUUCCCCAAAUUGAUUGGCGGUCACGUCGAGCUUCCAUAGCGUAGUAGUAAAACCCUCGUUACUGGUAAUCGUCGCGGCCACGCCGUUAAACCCCAACUUCUGGAUGUUGACCUCGGAUCAGGUAGGAAUACCCGCUGAACUUAAGCAUAUCAAUAAGCGGAGGA
rnacentral:misc_RNA from 1 species